ensembl:lncRNA
ACUGCGGUACUAGUGGGUCUAUGGGUCUUACUGCAGUACUAGUGGGUCUAUGGGUCUUACUGCAGUACUAGUGGGUCUAUGGGUCUUACCUUCAGUACUAGUGGGUCUAUGGGUCUUACUGCAGUACUAGUGGGUCUAUGGGUCUUACUGCAGUACUAGUGUGGUUCUACAAUCCAUUGAUCUCAUCCUGAGAUGUUUCAUGAUGAUCUCAGACUGAGGUGAUAUUUCUAAUAAUACUGGGUUGGACAUAGUCACCGCAGAGCGGAGGGCACAACUUGGCUUGUUCAACCGGUUAAUUAAUGUGUGAUAACAGAUAUGUGUGAGAUAUCAGACACUCCUGUGGUUGUGUGUGAUUACUUCAUAGUCUGUGGACUCUAGUGGUUAGUCAGGACUUAGAUACUAACUGACAUGGAACAGAGUCCAUUCCCUGACUACAGUGAAAUAGGCCUACCGCCUACUCCGGAGAUAUGCAUUGGCUUGGGACAGUGAUCCCCAGGAAUCUAUUUAAUUAAUGCACACAGCUUUUUCACUAAUAAAAUGUUGAAAAGACUACAUCACUAUUUAUUGUUACCAAUAUGACCAUUAGAAUAACAAAUUCAAACUGCUGUUUCAUCAUGAUAUCUUGUUGCUGUUAAUCUGCAUUAUAAGGCUGCGUUGAGACAAUGACUUAUUAAAGACCCAAGCCCAGCUCAGUUAAUCCCUACCAUUGUGACGCUGAGUUGUCAUAAUGCUUCAGGCAAAUGUACAUUACACCAGGGGUGUUGGUAGACACAAUGUACGUCACCAAAUAUAUGUCCCUCUAACUGCCUGAAAGCCUCUGUUGAUCCUACAGCUAUUGCCUGCAGUAAUCAUGUGCCUAUGAACCAGAGUUACACUAUUAGCACUAAGGAGGUGUGUCCUAGUAGGAAGACCACUGUUAACACUGAGGAGGUGUGUCCUAGUAGGAAGACCACUGUUAACACUGAGGAGGUGUGUCCUAGUAGGAAGACCACUGUUAACACUGAGGUGGUGUGUCCUCGUAGGAAGACCACUGUUAACACUGAGGAGAUGUGUCCUAGUAGGAAGACCACUGUUAGCACUAAGGAGGUGUGUCCUAGUAGGAAGACCACUGUUAACA